ensembl:lncRNA
AACCCAACCAGCUUGAAAAGCAACUCUGUGUUUUUGGUUUCAGAACAGGUGAUCAGCGUUGGGUUAAUCAACUCUGAGUAUGUUCACUCUGGGUUGAGGGCGUGCCUGUUGACUAUAAAGAGCCAUCAUCAAUGGAUCUCUGAUAACAUGAUCAAACAUGGACCAAAAGCGUAGAUCCACUUACUUUCUCCCACGGAAUUGGAAAUUCUUAUGAACGCGUAUGCCGAGCAGUUACCCAGAGAGAGCUUGGCCUGAAAUAGCUGAACAAGUCAAUGCGUGAGUAAAAUAAAUUAGUAAAAUAAAAUAAAAUAAGAGGAAAGUUUAAUAUCUUCCACUUAUUCAAUAUAUAAAUUGUGUGUAUGCGUGUGUGUGUCAAUUUACGCAACCCCGAGUUGCCCCAAGAGGACUUGGCAGCAAAUGAAGAUGAAGUACAAAAAUAUAGUUGAAACAGCAAAUCGAAAAAAUGCAGAGGCCCGGCAGACUGGAGGGGGUCCACCUCUGCAGCCCUCACAGAGGCUGAGGAGAUGGCCCUCAGCCAACAGAGUAUGCGUCCUGUGGCUGAGGGCAUCCCUGGGGGGAGCUCCUCUGAUCCCCCCCCCCCCAGGAAGGAAGUGCCUUUAUAAGAGUUACUGAUGGCGUCAUCGCCCUACUUGAACCAGAUGCCCUCACCAACCUCCAUGCAAUUGUAACAAUUCAAAAGAUGCAAAAGGAUGCUUUGGAGAUCCAAAUUUUGGAACAUAAGUUAUAGGUGGGUGAGGUGCAAACUGGGAUAGGCUACUGUUCCCUGCUCUAAAAAGAUACCCAAUAUAAAUGACUUUUUUUUUUGUGCUUUCAGGAAAUAAAAAAAUCCUCAUAAUAAGUAGAUUGUCUUUAUUAGAACACGGGCUGUGGUGGGA